UGACUGGCUUCUCAGAGCAGAUGUUCCUCAGAUGAGAUGGCAAGACGGACUACAAUUCUUAGUCAUGGAAAGAGUUUCAACCAAGCUUAUGGAAUCCAGACGGUCCAGGCAUUUGCAGAAGGGAUCAUUUGUUAUACUGGACAUACGGCUCAAAAAAACAAAAACAAAAAACACCUCAUUCAAUCUGCAAAACAUGCCCAUCAGCGGACCAAGAAAAAGUCUCCCGAGAAUGAAGCCAACUCCCCCUAGACGUCAGGAAGGACCUCAUUUCCUCCGGAACCUCUGACCAGGGAGUCACAUGAGAGCAUCUUGAAUGCGGAAUCCCAUGUGGAAUAUGGGGUAUAGAAU
rnacentral:lncRNA from 1 species